rnacentral:rRNA from 1 species
GGCUGGCGGCAGCUACCAUGCAGUCGAGCGGCAGCACGGGGAGCUUGCUCCCUGGUGGCGAGCGGCGGACGGGUGAGUAAUGCAUAGGAAUCUGCCCGGUAGUGGGGGAUAACGUGGGGAAACCCACGCUAAUACCGCAUACGUCCUACGGGAGAAAGCGGAGGAUCUUCGGACUUCGCGCUAUCGGAUGAGCCUAUGUCGGAUUAGCUAGUUGGUAAGGUAAUGGCUUACCAAGGCGACGAUCCGUAGCUGGUCUGAGAGGAUGAUCAGCCACACUGGGACUGAGACACGGCCCAGACUCCUACGGGAGGCAGCAGUGGGGAAUAUUGGACAAUGGGCGAAAGCCUGAUCCAGCCAUGCCGCGUGUGUGAAGAAGGCUUUCGGGUUGUAAAGCACUUUCAGCGAGGAAGAAGGCCUCUGGGUUAAUACCCCAGAGGAAGGACAUCACUCGCAGAAGAAGCACCGGCUAACUCCGUGCCAGCAGCCGCGGUAAUACGGAGGGUGCGAGCGUUAAUCGGAAUUACUGGGCGUAAAGCGCGCGUAGGUGGCUUGGCACGCCGGUUGUGAAAGCCCCGGGCUCAACCUGGGAACGGCAUCCGGAACGGCCAGGCUAGAGUGCAGGAGAGGAAGGUAGAAUUCCCGGUGUAGCGGUGAAAUGCGUAGAGAUCGGGAGGAAUACCAGUGGCGAAGGCGGCCUUCUGGCCUGACACUGACACUGAGGUGCGAAAGCGUGGGUAGCAAACAGGAUUAGAUACCCUGGUAGUCA